CGGCUAAGGACACUAAAGGUAAUUUAAGGGGGAAAUGGUGUGGGAUCGCACAGACAACCAGGAUGUUGGCGGAGAAGCAGCCCCUCAUUCAAAGAGUGCGUAAUAUCGCCCUGGUCGAGUGAUCCUGCGCCGAAGAUUUCCGGGGCUAAAACUUACAACCGAGGCUACGGCAUCAGUAAUGAUGGGUAGGGGAGCUUCCCAUACGGGUUGAAGCAUGAGCGUAAGGACAUGUGGACAGUAUGGGAGUGAGAAUGUUGGCAUGAGUAGCGAGAUGCGGGUGAGAAUCCCACAGGCCGUAAACCCAAGGUAGCCAGGGGAAGGUACGUCAGACCUGGGCUAGUCGGGCCCUCAGCUGAGGACGAAAGGCGUGCGUGAUGGCCCCCAGGUUGAUAUUCCUUUCCGACCUGUAACCAUUUGCGAGGUGGGAGGCCACCGUGGGGUAAGGUAGGCACACUGCGGGGUAAGUGUGCC
rnacentral:rRNA from 1 species